UAUGGUGUCUUAUUUGGGUUUCCGUAGUUGGCUUGUAAACGGGAAGUUCUAGAAGUUAGUUCAACUGCAAGCAGACGAUUUCUUUCUGAUCUUUUAACAGUCCCUAAAGAACAUAUGUCUUAGCUAAAACAAAGAGAGGAGAUGGACCUCACACUGAUGCAAAGCAAGUGUCCUCCAGGGGACCCGUGGUAUCCUGUUGUGGGCUCCAGUGAGGUAAAUUAUAAACAGGCCGACAGUCAAAAC